rnacentral:tRNA from 1 species
GGCUUUAUAGUCAAAUUAUGAUAUUAGAUUGCAAAUCUGAAGUUGUAUAUAUAUACUAAAGCUU